rnacentral:rRNA from 1 species
CGCGAGUUUAGACUCGCGGCGUAUAGCUCAGUAACACGUGGCCAAACUACCCUACAGACGAGAACAACCUCGGGAAACUGAGGCUAACACUCGAUACGCGUUGGCUGUUUGAAGACGCCGACGCUCAAACGCUCCGGCGCUGUAGGAUGUGGCUGCGGCCGAUUAGGUAGAUGGUGGGGUAACGGCCCACCAUGCCGAUAAUCGGUACGGGUUGUGAGAGCAAGAGCCCGGAGACGGAAUCUGAGACAAGAUUCCGGGCCCUACGGGGCGCAGCAGGCGCGAAACCUUUACACUGCACGCCAGUGCGAUAAGGGAACCCCGAGUGAAAGGGCAUAUCGCCCUUUCUUUUCUGAACCGUAGGGAGGUUCAGGAACAAGAGCUGGGCAAGACCGGUGCCAGCCGCCGCGGUAAUACCGGCAGCCCAAGUGAUGACCGAUAUUAUUGGGCCUAAAGCGUCCGUAGCUGGCCGCACAAGUCCGUCGGGAAAUCCACCCGCUCAACGAGCAGGCGUCCAGCGGAAACUGUGCGGCUUGGGACAGGAAGACCCGAGGGGUACGUCCGGGGUAGGAGUGAAAUCCUGUAAUCCUGAACGGACCACCGAUGGCGAAAGCACCUCAAGAGGACGGAUCCGACAGUGAGGGACGAAAGCUAGGGUCUCGAACCGGAUUAGAUACCCGGGUAGUCCCAGCCGUAAACGAUGCCCGCUAGGUGUGACACACACUACGAGCCAGCGCUGUGCCGCAGGGAAGCCGAGAAGCGAACCGCCUGGGAAGUACGUCCGCAAGGAUGAAACUUAAAGGAAUUGGCGGGGGAGCACUACAACCGGAGGAGCCUGCGGUUUAAUUGGACUCAACGCCGGUAACCUUACCAGCCCCGACUACAGUGAUGACGGCCAGGUUGAUGACCUCGCCACGACGCUGUAGAGAGGUGGUGCAUGGCCGCCGUCAGCUCGUACCGUGAGGCGUCCUGUUAAGUCAGGCAACGAGCGAGACCCGCACUCUUAAUUGCCAGCAUGUCCCUUGUGGAUGAUGGGUACAUUAGGAGGACUGCCGCCGCCAAGGCGGAGGAAGGAACGGGCAA